UACGGAGGGUGCAAGCGUUGCUCGGAUUUAUUGGGCGUAAAGGGUAGGUAGGUGGUCUUAUUUGUCUGGGGUGAAAGCCUUGAGCUUAACCUCAAGAAGUCGCCCCAGAAACGGUGAGACUAGAGUCCGGAAGAGGCGAGUGGAAUUCCUGGUGUAGCGGUGAAAUGCGCAGAUAUCAGGAGGAACACCGAUGGCGAAGGCAGCUCGCUGGGACGGUACUGACGCUGAGGCGACGAAAGCGUGGGGAGCAAACAGG
rnacentral:rRNA from 1 species